rnacentral:tRNA from 1 species
GCCGCACAUGCCGAAAUGGUUGAGGUACCUGGCUUCCACCCAGGGGUACCGGGUUCGAUUCCCGGGUGCGGCUC